ensembl:snRNA U6 U6 spliceosomal RNA
GUGCUCACUUCAGCAGCACAUGAAGUUGGACAAUACAGAGAAAAUUAGUGUGGCCCCUGCUCAAGGAUGAUAUGCAAAUUUGUGAAGAUUUCCAUAUUUUU